GGGGAAUAUUGGGCAAUGGGCGAAAGCCUGACCCAGCAACGCCGCGUGAAGGAAGAAGGCCCUCGGGUUGUAAACUUCUUUUGUCAGGGACGAAGCAAGUGACGGUACCUGACGAAUAAGCCACGGCUAACUACGUGCCAGCAGCCGCGGUAAUACGUAGGUGGCAAGCGUUAUCCGGAUUUACUGGGUGUAAAGGGCGUGUAGGCGGGAGUGCAAGUCAGAUGUAAAAGGCUAUGGCUUAACUAUAGUUAGCAUUUGAAACUGUAUUACUUGAGUGCAGGAGAGGUAAGCGGAAUUCCUAGUGUAGCGGUGAAAUGCGUAGAUAUUAGGAGGAACACCAGUGGCGAAGGCGGCUUACUGGACUGUAACUGACGCUGAGUCACGAAAGCGUGGGUAGCAAACA
rnacentral:rRNA from 2 species